UGUCAUGGUGACUGUCAGCUGUGCGGCAGUCCCAGCCAAUCACGGUGGGAGACUAUCUAUAAAGGCGGGCGUAGAGCACCUGUCGGCAUCUUGCUUGCCGUAGGCUGGGUCACGUUGCGCCUGGGCGUCCAUUUCCGCUUCCGUGCGGUGACAGGCUCUUGCUUGCCGGAGGCUGGGUCACGUAGCUCCUGUGCGUCUAUUUCCGCUUCUGUGCAGUGAUAGGGCUCACUUGGAUGUUGCUGCUGGCUGCGCGCUGCUCAUCGAUGCAUAGCCGAUGCCGCCUACUGAACUGUCGCUUUUGUAUAGCGUCCCGUUCCCUGCUCCACGUCACGUUGGCCGGGACUGCCCGAUUGGGUGGCCGACAGUAGCGGCGCAGCGGCGGCCAAUCCACCUAUAAAAACCACUGCUGCUUUGCUUGCACGUUAUUACCGCCUUGCCAGGGCCAGCUCGGACCCGAUCGCUUUGCCGUUCAUUCGGCUAGCGAUAGUUUGUUCCUUUUCCUGUUGUGUCGCUGUCUCUUUUGUUUAGUUGGUGCCACUACAUAUUAAAGUGUGUAUGUUAUGUAAGAGUU